GAUAAACGCUGGCGGCGUGCCUAAUACAUGCAAGUCGAGCGAACGGACGAGAAGCUUGCUUCUCUGAUGUUAGCGGCGGACGGGUGAGUAACACGUGGAUAACCUACCUAUAAGACUGGGAUAACUUCGGGAAACCGGAGCUAAUACCGGAUAAUAUUUUGAACCGCAUGGUUCAAAAGUGAAAGACGGUCUUGCUGUCACUUAUAGAUGGAUCCGCGCUGCAUUAGCUAGUUGGUAAGGUAACGGCUUACCAAGGCAACGAUGCAUAGCCGACCUGAGAGGGUGAUCGGCCACACUGGAACUGAGACACGGUCCAGACUCCUACGGGAGGCAGCAGUAGGGAAUCUUCCGCAAUGGGCGAAAGCCUGACGGAGCAACGCCGCGUGAGCGAUGAAGGUCUUCGGAUCGUAAAACUCUGUUAUUAGGGAAGAACAUAUGUGUAAGUAACUGUGCACAUCUUGACGGUACCUAAUCAGAAAGCCACGGCUAACUACGUGCCAGCAGCCGCGGUAAUACGUAGGUGGCAAGCGUUAUCCGGAAUUAUUGGGCGUAAAGCGCGCGUAGGCGGUUUUUUAAGUCUGAUGUGAAAGCCCACGGCUCAACCGUGGAGGGUCAUUGGAAACUGGAAAACUUGAGUGCAGAAGAGGAAAGUGGAAUUCCAUGUGUAGCGGUGAAAUGCGCAGAGAUAUGGAGGAACACCAGUGGCGAAGGCGACUUUCUGGUCUGUAACUGACGCUGAUGUGCGAAAGCGUGGGGAUCAAACAGGAUUAGAUACCCUGGUAGUCCACGCCGUAAACGAUGAGUGCUAAGUGUUAGGGGGUUUCCGCCCCUUAGUGCUGCAGCUAACGCAUUAAGCACUCCGCCUGGGGAGUACGACCGCAAGGUUGAAACUCAAAGGAAUUGACGGGGACCCGCACAAGCGGUGGAGCAUGUGGUUUAAUUCGAAGCAACGCGAAGAACCUUACCAAAUCUUGACAUCCUUUGACAACUCUAGAGAUAGAGCCUUCCCCUUCGGGGGACAAAGUGACAGGUGGUGCAUGGUUGUCGUCAGCUCGUGUCGUGAGAUGUUGGGUUAAGUCCCGCAACGAGCGCAACCCUUAAGCUUAGUUGCCAUCAUUAAGUUGGGCACUCUAAGUUGACUGCCGGUGACAAACCGGAGGAAGGUGGGGAUGACGUCAAAUCAUCAUGCCCCUUAUGAUUUGGGCUACUCACGUGCUACAAUGGACAAUACAAAGGGCAGCGAAACCGCGAGGUCAAGCAAAUCCCAUAAAGUUGUUCUCAGUUCGGAUUGUAGUCUGCAACUCGACUACAUGAAGCUGGAAUCGCUAGUAAUCGUAGAUCAGCAUGCUACGGUGAAUACGUUCCCGGGUCU
rnacentral:rRNA from 1 species